GGAGAGGCUGUAGCUCAGCCGUAGAGCUUUGGCCUCGCAUGUAGAAGGUCUCAAGUUUAAUCCUCAGCAUCUCCA